GGGGGGGGGGGGGGGGGGGGGGGGGGGGACUUGAGGAUGACAGGGGGGCGUUGUAGUGGACUGGUUGGAUGAGGGUUUGAGGUGGGGGAGGAGCUGCUGGCGGUGGACCGGGUGGAUGUGGGUUUGAGGUGGGGAAUGAGGUGGUGGUAGGGGAGGUGGUGGUCCAACCCGGAUUGGGUGGAUGGAAGGGUGGUGGACGAUUUUGAUUUAACCUCUGUUUCCAGAUCGAUGAAAUGUAUUGAUUCUGCUCUAUAUGGACAUUAUUCUGUUUUACGUCUGCUAUUUAUUGAUCCUUCUCUUCAUUUAUUUUGACGCAUGAUUUGGUAAACAGGUUUAGUACAUACUGUAGCAUAAAAACAAUAUCAAAUAUGAUAUAUAUAAUACAACCAAGUGGAAAUGUAAUUUAUGCUUUGAAAAUAAAAACUCCAUUCAUCAAUCAAUUCCAGUAUUUAUACAUCGGCCUCUGAACCAGUCCGUCUCCAUGGUGACAGCUGUUCAUUCUACAAAUAACAAGCGCCCCGCUGCUUGGAGAACAGAAAGACCUUGACUCCGCGCAAUUGACUCACAGAUACAUCACACAAAAGGCCCCCUCAGACAUACACACCCAGUACUGCCCUAAAACAACCCCACCUAAACGUAAGGUACACCUAUAUGAUACCGUCUCCGAACUCCAACCACCAUGUUAGCUUAUGCUUGUUUACGUUCCCCAUUAGAUACCACAGAGAGCUGACCCUUUACCACACACACAGAGCUUCCUGUUGCCGUAGCGUGUCCUGGUGCUUCAUGGGACGUGACUCUGCGGGGGGCUCCAGUGACAGAUGGAUCGUGGGUGAGCGAGGGGGCAGAGUGGGAACUGAUGCCGAGUGAACCCUGGUCGCUCCAGGGUGCCAUGGUAGCUCUCUCUACUACCCUGGGGCUCGACCAACACAGUCUGUCCACACUGAUCUGGCUCAAUGGCCCUGAGUGUGUGACAGAAUCUUCUAAGCUAUUUAGAGCGGUUUAUUUUAGACUCGGUUUAUUUUAGACUUACUUCCCAAAAUGAACAAACACACAAGAACACAAGAAAACAAAAUAAUCAUAAAGGCCUCACAGAUAGGCAGAUAGACAAUUACAGCAAAGUCAUUAAUUUAGCCUGAAAAAUAACAGAU